rnacentral:rRNA from 1 species
AGUGAACGCUGGCGGCAGGCCUAACACAUGCAAGUCGAACGGCAGCACAGUAAGAGUUUGCUCUUACGGGUGGCGGGUGGCGGACGGGUGAGGAGUACAUCGGAAUCUACUUUUUCGUGGAGGAUAACGUAGGGAAACUUACGCUAAUACCGCAUACGACCUACGGGUGAAAGCAGGGGAUAGUCGGACCUUGCGCGAUUGAACGAGCCGAUGUCGGAUUAGCUAGUCGGCUGGGUAAAGGCCCACCAAGGCGACGAUCCGUAGCUGGACUGAGAGGAUGAUCGGCCACCCUGGAGCUGAGACACGGUCCAGACUCCUACGGGAGGCACCAGUCGGGAACAGUGGGCAAUGGGCGCAAGCCUGAUCCAGCCAUCCCGAGUGUGUGACGAAGGCCUUCGGUUCGUAAAGACCGCUUUCUGGGAAAGAACAGCAGCCGCCUGAUACCACGCGGUACUGACGGUACCCAAUGAAGAAGCACCGGCUAACUACGUG